rnacentral:rRNA from 1 species
GACGAAUGCUGGCGGCGUGCUUAACACAUGCAAGUCGAACGGAAAGGCCCUGCUUGCAGGGUACUCGAGUGGCGAACGGGUGAGUAACACGUGGGUGAUCUGCCCUGCACUUCGGGAUAAGCCUGGGAAACUGGGUCUAAUACCGGAUAGGAGCCAUUUUUAGUGUGAUGGUUGGAAAGUUUUUUCGGUGUAGGAUGAGCUCGCGGCCUAUCAGCUUAUUGGUGGGGUAAUGGCCUACCAAGGCGGCGACGGGUAGCCGGCCUGAGAGGGUGGACGGCCACAUUGGGACUGAGAUACGGCCCAGACUCCUACGGGAGGCAGCAGUGGGGAAUAUUGCACAAUGGGCGCAAGCCUGAUGCAGCGACGCCGCGUGGGGGAUGACGGCCUUCGGGUUGUAAACUCCUUUCGCUAGGGACGAAGCUUUUUGUGACGGUACCUAGAUAAGAAGCACCGGCUAACUACGUG